UGCCUUACAAAAAAACCCAGCGAACUUCCAGCGAAAGUUCGCUGGAAAUUAAAAGAUCACUGGAAAUUUACUAAGAUCACUGGGUUUUCGCUGGAUUUCCAUGGAAACAAAAGACUUCGCUGGAAGUUCGCUGGAAAUCCAAUGAAAAACUUCCAGUGAUCUUAAAGUUCGCUGGAAUUUUACUGGGUUUCUUACGAAAUAUUUCGCGGUGAUGUAAAAAGCGUUGCUGUUACAACUUCUGCAAGCAGUUAAAACUUGGAAAAUUGAUAAUAUAGCUUCUUAAAAUAAUAUUUCAAAUUUUUGUAUAAAAGUAAUCCUUUUUAUUUUAUUUUUUGCAUCUAAUAGAUGAUCUAUAGUGUGAGUUUCAAAUAUUAUUAGUUCUACUCAAGUUACAAAACAAAAUCAUCUGGUAGUUUAAUGAUUAUAAUGGUUGCCAUUGGUGUUCUUCUCAAGGGGUAAAAGUUAAAAAAAGAAGACACUGUACUGUUGUAAAUAAUCUUUUAUCUGCAAUCAGUGUGCCAAGCAAUAUAAGACAGACUCGAUGAUCAUUAAGUUGUAUAAAGCAUUGGAAAGG